rnacentral:rRNA from 1 species
CCCUUAGAUGUUCUGGGCCGCACGCGCGCUACACUGACGAAGUCAGCGAGCAUGUCCUACGCCGACAGGUGCGGGGAAUCUUGUCAAACUUCGUCGUGAUGGGGAUUGAUUAUCGAAAUUCUUGAUCAUCAACGAGGAAUUCCUAGUAAGCGCAAGUCAGCAGCUUGCGUUGAUUACGUCCCUGCCCUUUGUACACACCGCCCGUCGCUACUACCGAUUGAAUGGUUUAGUGAGAUCUUCGGAUUGGCGCCACUGCGGCUCAGCAAUGGGCUCGGUGGAUGCCGAAAAGUUGAUCAAACUUGAUCAUUUAGAGGAAGUAAAAGUCGUAACA